rnacentral:tRNA from 1 species
GAUACAGUGCCCGAUUAAUAAGGAUAGUCUUGAUGCGACUAACUAUGUAGAUUCUUCUACCUGUAUUA